GGGCUGGCAGGAGGAAAUGAGUCUAAAUCUUCUCUCCCUCAAUGAACUCAUGUCAGCCGGCUUUGCUGGGGCGGUCCUGCCCCGCGCUCACUCCGAGCACCAGUCCCCUUUGGAGCUGGAGGCACUGUCAUUCUCAGCCCUGAUUUGGCGUUCACAGUGUGCUCCCCUGUGGAGAGAGAAGAGAGACAAUAAGAAGCUCCCUGCUCGGAGCCGGUACCGUGUGCCGCGUGUACACCCUAAAGGAGAGCAGCAGCACUGCAGGGCAGCAGCGCCGGGAUCCGCAGCUGCCGACAGCCCGGAGAGAAGCACGGCAAGAGGCAGUGCAUGGUGCUGCUUGAGAGAGACCGUGGUACUUCAUCAAAAGUGUCUGCGGCCGGCAGUGCCUGUUCAUCCUCACGAGGAGGAAAUUCGCUGCCUUAAUCACCGAAAUGUCAAAUGUCACAUUGUGUGAAGUGCAUUUCUCUUCUCUGCAGUGCCUUGGAGACGAGCACGCCUCAGGUACCGUGCGCUGCCAGCCUGUCCUUCCAGAGAACGGGGGAAGCUGCAGAGUGAGCCCAGCCUUCCGUUCCUGGGGAUGCUUUUCCACUUUGAGUUCUUGAGUCUGUAAGAUGGGGGAGCUGUUGCAUUGUACAAAACCGGCAGGGAACGAUCCUGCUCCUCGGGAGCCCUCUGUCUCCCUGCUGCCAGGCCAGAGGUGAGAACGCUGUCCUGGUGCCCGGCCAGAGGUGAGAAUCCUGGUGCCCGGCCACAGGUGAGAACGCUGUCCUGGUGCUGGCCACAGGUGAGAACGCUGUCCUGGUGCCAGGCCAGAGGGGAGAACGCUGUCCUGGUGCCCCAGCUCUCAGCCUCACGGCCGGGCAGACUCAGGGCAGGCAGUGCUGAACCUGCCCAGGACACACAGACCCUCAGCACUGCUUCUGGUUUUAUUUAACGUGUGGAAUUGUCCCUGGGGUGCCUUGGUGGGUGGUGAAGCCCCAGCAUGUGGUGGUGCCCUGGCCUUGGUGUGCCAGCCCCACACUGCCUUUGAAUGAGACCUCACACCUAAAACCACCACGGGCUGGUGACAGGCUUAGCC
rnacentral:lncRNA from 1 species